rfam:Arabidopsis thaliana chromosome 5, complete sequence.
GAGUCCCUCUGAUAUUGGCCUGGUUCACUCAGAUUCUCUUUUACUAACUCAUCUGAUUGAGCCGUGUCAAUAUCUCAGUCCUCUCU